rnacentral:rRNA from 1 species
AUUGAACGCUGGCGGCAGGCCUAACACAUGCAAGUCGAGCGGAUGAAGGGAGCUUGCUCCUGGAUUCAGCGGCGGACGGGUGAGUAAUGCCUAGGAAUCUGCCUGGUAGUGGGGGAUAACGUCCGGAAACGGGCGCUAAUACCGCAUACGUCCUGAGGGAGAAAGUGGGGGAUCUUCGGACCUCACGCUAUCAGAUGAGCCUAGGUCGGAUUAGCUAGUUGGUGGGGUAAAGGCCUACCAAGGCGACGAUCCGUAACUGGUCUGAGAGGAUGAUCAGUCAACAUGGAACUUGGAAAAGGGCCCGACUCCUUAGGGAGGGAGGAGUGGGGAAUUAUUGACAAUGGGGGGAAGCCUGAUCCAGCCAUGCCGGGUGUGUUGAGAAGGUCUUCGGAUUGUAAAGCACUUUAAGUUGGGAGGAAGGGCAGUAAGUUAAUACCUUGCUGUUUUGACGUUACCAACAGAAUAAGCACCGGCUAACUUCGUG